rnacentral:rRNA from 1 species
CAUAGGUUAAUGAGGCGAACCGGGGGAACUGAAACAUCUAAGUACCCCGAGGAAAAGAAAUCAACCGAGAUUCCCCCAGUAGCGGCGAGCGAACGGGGAGGAGCCCAGAGCCUGAAUCAGUGUGUGUGUUAGUGGAAGCGUCUGGAAAGGCGCGCGAUACAGGGUGACAGCCCCGUACACAAAAAUGCACAUACUGUGAGCUCGAUGAGUAGGGCGGGACACGUGGUAUCCUGUCUGAAUAUGGGGGGACCAUCCUCCAAGGCUAAAUACUCCUGACUGACCGAUAGUGAACCAGUACCGUGAGGGAAAGGCGAAAAGAACCCCGGCGAGGGGAGUGAAAAAGAACCUGAAACCGUGUACGUACAAGCAGUGGGAGCCUCUUAAUGGGGUGACUGCGUACCUUUUGUAUAAUGGGUCAGCGACUUAUAUUCUGUAGCAAGGUUAACCGAAUAGGGGAGCCGAAGGGAAACCGAGUCUUAACUGGGCGUUAAGUUGCAGGGUAUAGACCCGAAACCCGGUGAUCUAGCCAUGGGCAGGUUGAAGGUUGGGUAACACUAACUGGAGGACCGAACCGACUAAUGUUGAAAAAUUAGCGGAUGACUUGUGGCUGGGGGUGAAAGGCCAAUCAAACCGGGAGAUAGCUGGUUCUCCCCGAAAGCUAUUUAGGUAGCGCCUCGUGAAUUCAUCUCCGGGGGUAGAGCACUGUUUCGGCAAGGGGGUCAUCCCGACUUACCAACCCGAUGCAAACUGCGAAUACCGGAGAAUGUUAUCACGGGAGACACACGGCGGGUGCUAACGUCCGUCGUGAAGAGGGAAACAACCCAGACCGCCAGCUAAGGUCCCAAAGUCAUGGUUAAGUGGGAAACGAUGUGGGAAGGCCCAGACAGCCAGGAUGUUGGCUUAGAAGCAGCCAUCAUUUAAAGAAAGCGUAAUAGCUCACUGGUCGAGUCGGCCUGCGCGGAAGAUGUAACGGGGCUAAACCAUGCACCGAAGCUGCGGCAGCGACGCUUAUGCGUUGUUGGGUAGGGGAGCGUUCUGUAAGCCUGUGAAGGUGGCCUGUGAGGGUUGCUGGAGGUAUCAGAAGUGCGAAUGCUGACAUAAGUAACGAUAAAGCGGGUGAAAAGCCCGCUCGCCGGAAGACCAAGGGUUCCUGUCCAACGUUAAUCGGGGCAGGGUGAGUCGACCCCUAAGGCGAGGCCGAAAGGCGUAGUCGAUGGGAAACAGGUUAAUAUUCCUGUACUUGGUGUUACUGCGAAGGGGGGACGGAGAAGGCUAUGUUGGCCGGGCGACGGUUGUCCCGGUUUAAGCGUGUAGGCUGGUUUUCCAGGCAAAUCCGGAAAAUCAAGGCUGAGGCGUGAUGACGAGGCACUACGGUGCUGAAGCGACAAAUGCCCUGCUUCCAGGAAAAGCCUCUAAGCAUCAGGUAACAU